rnacentral:rRNA from 1 species
UACGGAGGGGGCCAGCGUUGUUCGGAAUCAUUGGGCGUAAAGGGCGCGUAGGCGGCCACGCAAGUCGGAUGUGAAAUCCCUCGGCUCAACCGAGGAACUGCAUCCGAAACUGCGAGGCUCGAGUCCUGGAGAGGGAUGCGGAAUUCCAGGUGUAGCGGUGAAAUGCGUAGAUAUCUGGAGGAACACCGGUGGCGAAGGCGGCGUCCUGGACCAACACUGACACUGAUGAGCGAAAGCCAGGGGAGCAAACGGG